CCAGGAGGCGGGGCGCCUGUGGGAGCCGUGGAGGGAACUUUCCCAGUCCCCGAGGCGGAUCCGGUGUUGCAUCCUUGGAGCGAGCUGAGAGCUCGAGUACAGAACCUGCUAAGGCCAUCAAACCUAUUGAUCGGAAGUCAGUCCAUCAGAUUUGCUCUGGGCCGGUGGUACCGAGUCUAAGCACUGCGGUGAAGGAGUUAGUAGAAAACAGUCUGGAUGCUGGUGCCACUAAUAUUGAAUAGCUGGGCGUGGUGUUUCACGCCUGUAAUCCUAGCCCUUUGAGAGGCUGAGGUGGGGGGAUUGCUUGAAGCCAAGAGUUCAAGACCAACCUGGCCAACAUGGUGAGACCUCGUCUCUAUUAAAAAAUAAAGUAGGCCGGGUGUGGUGGCUCAUGCCUGUAAUCCCAGCACUUUGGGAGGCCAAGGCGGGUGGAUACCUGAGGUCAGGAAUUCGAGACCAGCCUGUCCAAAAUGGUGAAACUCUGUCUCUACUAAAAAUACAAAAAUUAGCCAGACCUGGUGGCAGAAGCCUGUAAUCCCAGCUACUGGGGAGGCUCAGGAAUGAGAAUUGUUUAAACCUGGGAGGUGGAGGUUGCAGUGAACCGAGAUUGUGCCACUGCACGGCAGCCUGGGGACAGAGCAAGACUCCGUCUCAAAACAAUAAAAU
rnacentral:lncRNA from 10 species